CCUACGGGAGGCUGCAGUGGGGAAUAUUGCACAAUGGGCGCAAGCCUGAUGCAGCCAUGCCGCGUGUGAAGAAGGCCUUCGGGUUGUAAAGCACUUUCAGCGGGGAGGAAGGCGGUGAGGUUAAUAACCUCAUCGAUUGACGUUACCCGCAGAAGAAGCACCGGCUAACUCCGUGCCAGCAGCCGCGGUAAUACGGAGGGUGCAAGCGUUAAUCGGAAUUACUGGGCGUAAAGCGCACGCAGGCGGCCUGGCAAGUCGGAUGUGAAAUCCCCGGGCUCAACCUGGGAACUGCAUUCGAAACUGGCAGGCUAGAGUCUUGUAGAGGGGGGUAGAAUUCCAGGUGUAGCGGUGAAAUGCGUAGAGAUCUGGAGGAAUACCGGUGGCGAAGGCGGCCCCCUGGACAAAGACUGACGCUCAGGUGCGAAAGCGUGGGGAGCAAACAGGAUUAGAUACCCCUGUAGUC
rnacentral:rRNA from 1 species